UACGGAGGUGGCAAGCGUUGUCCGGAUUUAUUGGGCGUAAAGCGAGCGCAGGCGGUUUCUUAAGUCUGAUGUGAAAGCCCCCGGCUCAACCCGGGAAGGGCAGUGGAAACUGGGGAACUAGAGUGCAGAAGAGGCGAGUGGAAUUCCAUGUGUAGCGGUGAAAUGCGUAGAUAUAUGGAGGAACACCAGUGGCGAAGGCGACUCUCUGGUCUGUAACUGACGCUGAGGUGCGAAAGCGUGGGGAGCAAACAGG
rnacentral:rRNA from 1 species